UUCUGGUGGCUUAGAGGGUAAAGCAUCUGCCUGCAAUGCAGGAGACCAAGGUUCAAUUCCUGGGUCAGGAA
rnacentral:tRNA from 1 species